GCCGGUGUGGCGGAAUUGGCAGACGCGCUGGACUCAAAAUCCAGUGCCCGUUAAGGGCGUAUCGGUUCGACCCCGAUCACCGGUA
rnacentral:tRNA from 1 species